CUCAUGAUAGUGAGUGAGUUCUCACAAGAUCUGAUGGUUUUAUAAGGGGCUUUUCCCCCUUUGCUUGGCACUUCUCUCUUCUGCUGCCAUGUGAAGAAGGAUGUGUUUGCUUCCCCUUCUGCUAUGAUUGUACGUCUCCUGAGGCCUCCGCAGUCAUGCAGAACUACGUCUCCACGCUGUGGGGACCCCAGGCUUGUGCAGACAUCUGUGGGAAUCCAAAGAUGGCGUGAUACGGAGAAGUCAGAAUGUGGCCAAGCAUCCUAAAUCCAUCGUCUGCGUCCCCUCUAGUGUGUUUUGUAUCAGUGUCAGGAAGAAUUAGCACUAACGUUUGGAUGUUGAUUUUAUCCACACCAGGAAGAAAAAGUAGCCAACGACGUUGUGAAGGAGAUACUAUCAUAUCCUUUAACAGCCCUGGUGAUGUUCGCUGCUCUGCACAGCACACGGUGACUACAUCCCAGAUCCAGAGCUGCGGAACUCUGGGGCCACGUCUCCAGCGCCGCAUUCGGCGGCACACGGAGGCCUGAGAAGGCGGGAGGGGUCAGUCUCUGGCUUCGAGUAGCAGCAAUACCAGGACAACCAUAGCUGAGUCAUGUCAAGAUGAACCAUAUGGCAUUACCAUUUUUUCACAGCCCUAGGGUUCCUGAGAUCACGGUGUGGCAGCGGCCCCGCCACCCCAGGACAGCUCCUCCCUUGUGCAACCCCAACACAGCAGCAGCCACACCUCCCGUUGUCAACCAGCGUCUUCCAUCACUCAGAGUCUCAAAUGCUGAUAAUCGCAGUUUUCCAAGGAAUUAUUAGCUAACGUUUUGGACACAUUAAUUUCUCUGAAACUUUCUUCAGGAGGUUUCGUAUACACGGCAAUUUUAAUCCAUUAGAGAAAUAAAUGAUGGCAUAACAAAAUAUUCAGUAUGGGAUCUCAGUAAUUAUAAAGUCUAUUUAAAGUGUUCCACGAGCUUUUAUUUAAGUCAUUUUGGGCUUUUUUUCCCCCAUUCUUUGGGAAACACAUGUGCACUCUCUGAAUAUACAGGAUAAUGGUAUUUAUUUACCACUCCACUCCCACUUUUCAUUUUUUGUAUAAAGCUUACACACCUAGAACUUUAAAUUUUUUUCAUCUAAUUAUACAACAAAUAUAUUUAUUUAAAAAUUUGAUAACUUAUACAUUUUGCAAUGCCCCAUAAUCAGAACACACAGUGAUAACCAGUGUUAGCAUGUUAAUACAUGCACUUGUAUAUGGAUUUCUCAAUUCCUGCAAAUAUUGUUUAAAUGAAUCAUGUGGUGGAUUUUUAACUUAUUUGUUUUGAAAAUACAGAUACUUAC
rnacentral:lncRNA from 1 species